rnacentral:rRNA from 1 species
UACGGGGGGAGCAAGCGUUGUUCGGAUUUACUGGGCGUAAAGGGCGCGUAGGCGGCCACCGCAAGUCGGUUGUGAAAUCUCUGGGCUUAACCCAGAAAGGUCAACCGAUACUGCGGGGCUAGAGUGCAGAAGGGGCAACUGGAAUUCUCGGUGUAGCGGUGAAAUGCGUAGAUAUCGAGAGGAACACCGGUGGCGAAGGCGGCAUCCUGGACCGAGAUUGACGCUGAUGCGCGAAAGCCAGGGGAGCAAACGGG